GGAGAGAUGACCGAGUGGUUGAAGGUGCACGCUUGGAAAGCGUGUGUGCGCGGAAGCGUACCGAGGGUUCGAAUCCCUCUCUCUCCGCCA
rnacentral:tRNA from 2 species